UACGUAGGGUGCGAGCGUUGUCCGGAAUUACUGGGCGUAAAGAGCUCGUAGGCGGUUUGUCGCGUCGGCCGUGAAAUCUCCACGCUUAACGUGGAGCGUGCGGUCGAUACGGGCAGACUUGAGUUCGGUAGGGGAGACUGGAAUUCCUGGUGUAGCGGUGAAAUGCGCAGAUAUCUGGAGGAACACCGGUGGCGAAGGCGGCGUUCUGGACUGUUUCUGACACUGUAAAACGAAAGCCAGGGGAGCAAACGGG
rnacentral:rRNA from 1 species